UAUACAUGCAGUCGAACGCUUUUUCUUUCACCGGAGCUUGCUCCACCGAAAGAAAAAGAGUGGCGAACGGGUGAGUAACACGUGGGUAACCUGCCCAUCAGAAGGGGAUAACACUUGGAAACAGGUGCUAAUACCGUAUAACACUAUUUUCCGCAUGGAAGAAAGUUGAAAGGCGCUUUUGCGUCACUGAUGGAUGGACCCGCGGUGCAUUAGCUAGUUGGUGAGGUAACGGCUCACCAAGGCAACGAUGCAUAGCCGACCUGAGAGGGUGAUCGGCCACACUGGGACUGAGACACGGCCCAGACUCCUACGGGAGGNAGCAGUAGGGAAUCUUCGGCAAUGGACGAAAGUCUGACCGAGCAACGCCGCGUGAGUGAAGAAGGUUUUCGGAUCGUAAAACUCUGUUGUUAGAGAAGAACAAGGAUGAGAGUAAAAUGUUCAUCCCUUGACGGUAUCUAACCAGAAAGCCACGGCUAACUACGUGCCAGCAGCCGCGGUAAUACGUAGGUGGCAAGCGUUGUCCGGAUUUAUUGGGCGUAAAGCGAGCG
rnacentral:rRNA from 1 species